GACGAACGCUGGCGGCGUGCCUAAUACAUGCAAGUAGAACGCUGAAGGAGGAGCUUGCUUCUCCGGAUGAGUUGCGAACGGGUGAGUAACGCGUAGGUAACCUGCCUGGUAGCGGGGGAUAACUAUUGGAAACGAUAGCUAAUACCGCAUAACAGUAGAUGUUGCAUGACAUUUGCUUAAAAGGUGCAAUUGCAUCACUACCAGAUGGACCUGCGUUGUAUUAGCUAGUUGGUGAGGUAACGGCUCACCAAGGCGACGAUACAUAGCCGACCUGAGAGGGGGAUCGGCCACACUGGGACUGAGACACGGCCCAGACUCCUACGGGAGGCAGCAGUAGGGAAUCUUCGGCAAUGGACGGAAGUCUGACCGAGCAACGCCGCGGGAGUGAAGAAGGUUUUCGGAUCGUAAAGCUCUGUUGUAAGAGAAGAACGAGUGUGAGAGUGGAAAGUUCACACUGUGACGGUAUCUUACCAGAAAGGGACGGCUAACUACGUG
rnacentral:rRNA from 1 species